UACGUAGGGCGCAAGCGUUGUCCGGAAUUAUUGGGCGUAAAGAGCUCGUAGGCGGCUUGUCACGUCGGGUGUGAAAGCCCGGGGCUUAACCCCGGGUCUGCAUUCGAUACGGGCUGGCUGGGGUGUGGUAGGGGAGAUCGGAAUUCCUGGUGUAGCGGUGAAAUGCGCAGAUAUCAGGAGGAACACCGGUGGCGAAGGCGGAUCUCUGGGCCAUUACUGACGCUGAGGAGCGAAAGCGUGGGGAGCGAACAGG
rnacentral:rRNA from 1 species